GAUUUCGCCCUCAAGUUGUCGAUAUUUACACGGGAAAUAAAAUUUCAACCGCAUGAGGUCGAAACUUAUUUUUAUACAAAUAAUAAAUGAGAAUUUAAAAAAACAAUUAUAUAAAUAAAACAAUUAAUUAAAAAAAAAAAGAAUCAUAUUUCGACCGCAUGCGGUCGAAACAAUUAAGUCAAAUCUGACUUAAAUAUUUCGACCGCACGCGGUCGAAAUAAUAAAAUUGUAAAAUUUAAACUUCAGCCGUGCAAUUCUUAUUCCCAACAACCACAACCUAAUUAUAUUAAAACUACUCCCACCCCCACGGUACCCCUACCCAGUCGCCGACACUCCACCCCACCACACCCCUACCCCUCCCUGCCGCUGACGCCCCAUCUCCACCACUUCCUGUCCUCCGUCACCGCCGUUGCUGUCCACCGUCACUGCCUGCUGUGGGAGCAUCAAGAGCUACUGGAGGAGAAUACCCUGAGAGAGUCGGUCAAUCUGUUUGCCAGGUUGGAGGAGGUGGAAUUGUAAGGGAUCCCUUGGUCCAUCAAGAGACGCUCGAGAGGGGUCAGGAAAUACCUCAAGAUGAAGUCUUCAAGAUUGCUCACACGAGGAAGGCGAAGAACGCUGAUGUCUCUAACACCCAACGUUGACUUUUUUGAUUCGUAUACUUUUGGAUUGUAAUAUUGCUAUGUUUUCUUGGAUAUGUAUAUUUUUUCCAUGAUAGUUUUAAUUCGAAUUAGAUGUACUUUUGAAGGUGAAUUUGAUUGUAGGAAGUAGUUUAUGGAUGUUUUAACUUUACGAUGUUUAAGUGUUUGAAUGUAGAAAGUAGUUUAUGGUUGUUUAACUUUACGAUGUUCAAGUGUUUGAAUGUACUUUUUAAGGAUAUUUAGAAGUACUUUAAAUAGAAACUUAAGGUUGAAUUUGAUUUUAGAAUGUGAAGUUUAUGAUUGUAGAAGUACUUUGAUGAAUUGGACGUGUUGAUGAAUUGCAUUGUUGA